rnacentral:rRNA from 1 species
UACGAAGGGGGCUAGCGUUGCUCGGAUUGACUGGGCGUAAAGGGCGCGUAGGCGGUUUGUACAGUCAGACGUGAAAUUCCCGGGCUCAACCUGGGGGCUGCGUUUGAUACGUACAGACUUGAGUUCGGAAGAGGGUCGUGGAAUUCCCAGUGUAGAGGUGAAAUUCGUAGAUAUUGGGAAGAACACCGGUGGCGAAGGCGGCGACCUGGUCCGAUACUGACGCUGAGGCGCGAAAGCGUGGGGAGCAAACAGG